rnacentral:lncRNA from 1 species
AAUCAAUGGCCGUUAGAGAUCGAAUACACAUUCAAAUAGAAGUUCCCCUGAGUCCCUUAUCACACCGAUCUGGCAUGGGUCUCUCAAUAAACCGUAGUUAUAGGCCUUUACACCAGUGAUUACAUCUUCUUUAAAACAAACCACCAGCUUUGGCCUCCUACUAUGUCACCGUUCGCUGCUCCACUUCAACCAUCACCACUACCACUGUUCACCACCGCCUAUUUCAUCUCCAUCAGCCACCAAUUUAUCCAUCUCUUUAGGUUUGGUUUUCAUCUUUAUUGCAUAUGUUUGUACUUUGCUUUCUUCCAUAUCUCACCUCUUUACUCUUUAGUACGCUAAUUACCGGCCACCAUCACUACCUAUACCACAUCACCCCACCUAACCACCCCCAACAUCAAUGCUUGUUCCACCUCUUAUCAUCCAUAAAGGUAUUCUUUGACAUUUCUUAAUCUUCUUUUAUUUAUCACACUGUGUUUCUAUUUUGUUCAAACAUUGGCAUCCACUAGAAGAUGCUUAGCAUUGAAAUUUCUUAACACCACCGUCAAUCGAAGCCUAAUCGAAGUUGUUACCACCACUUCUUCGAUUGGAAGGUAAUCAACUGUUCCCAUCAUCCAUUUAUUGAAAUUGUAUAUGUGGGAACAAAUGACCACUUAGUUUUGGUGAACUUGAAAUGAAAUUGACAGGUCAAGAGUUGAAAAAGUAUAGGAAAAUGUUUACAUUGCAGCCAAUAAAACAUCAUGUGGCAUCACAGUAAGUUUAGGGGUCAUCAGUGGAUAGACAGGUAAGCUGUUAAACUAUAUAUAUUUCAUUAUUUAUGUGAAUUGAUAACUUGACAGUGUUAUGCUCUAGAUUGAAUAAUCAUUGUGGUUUUUAUGAAAGUGGUGCACAACAAGCUGUAGGAAUACAAGUCAGGCGUUAAAACCUAAUACACUUUGAUUUUUUCUAAUGGAAGCCUGAAACUUAGAUCCAAGAAGGUCAGUCUUUUUAUUAAUAAUAAAAUUGGGAUGAACAACAGGAAAUGAAUAUCUAUAUUUUAUUUGUUCUUACAUAAACCCCUCUCUAAUUUGGUUUGUUACACUCUCGAUCUUGAUAUUUUUCAAACAUGAUAGAGGAGAAAGCCUAUGACUUCAAGCCCUAAAUUUCAACUUAAAGGUACAUCUUCCUUUCAAAUCACACUAUCAAGAGAUAAAAAAUGGAAGCAAGAUCUUUUUGGUCACUCUUUGCUAAUUAUCAGCUUUGUUUUAAGAACUUAGAAGGGCAUUAAUGUCAAAAAAACUAAGUUAUUCUUUUUUUUCUUUUUGUUAAUUUAUGUUGCAGGUAUUGGUUAGCUAGUAAUGCAAUGAUGAUUAGAUUGCGUAAUGUGAAGCUUUAGAUGGAUUUAUUUGUAAAAAAUACUUGGGAUCUCUACGAAAGUACAAGUAAAUUCUUUGCCCUUAAAAUCUUUAUAAUUUGAUGAUUUUAUCAUUCAAGCAGAUAAAUUGUGAUGAACAACUGCAAAUUGAUUAGGAUCUUUCUAAAAGGCAAAAUGGUCCUUUUUUGGUUAUUAUUAAAGAUGACAAGUUUAUUCUUGGUUUUAUGGUUAUGGAUUGGUAAAAUGGGAAAAUGCAAUAAAGGCACAAUGCAUGCUGAAAUUUAUGACAAUGGCUGAUCUGUCUAACUCUUUUCCUUUACUGUCUUUAUAACUGUAUGUGUAUGUGUGUUGAACUUUAUUCAAUUUAUUCAGUUUAAAAUCAAUAAAAAUAGAUCCAGUAACCCUGGAAAGAAUCACAGACAAUAGGACCAAAACAUGAUGGUUUAUACGAAGAUAACAAAACUCGUGACGGGAAGACAAUAGUAAAAUUACCAAAAUAACCUCCAUAUUGUUAAGGUAUAAAGGGAAAGAAAAGGUGAAUGAAGGUGGUGUGGAGAAUGAACAUGUUAUUAAUUCUCCAGGGUCACCAGUAACUCAUGCUCUCUAAUAUUGUUCAUCAUAUUCUAUGUUCAAUCACCAAUCACAUGUUGCAAGCUUGAACUAAAUGCAAGAUUCCAUUGAUACAAAUAGGAUGUAAAUAGCAAUGUAUUGUCAUUGAUAUGUGAUUAUAUUUUAUUUUUACCUGAUUAUAUAAGAGUUGAAUAUUGAGAUAAAUUUAUACUUUAUAUAAGGAAAAUUUUGAACACACAUUUAGAAAGUAAUAAUCUGAUUUCAAAUAAUCACACUAGAUAAGACAUAGAACCUGGAUGUACUUUUUCAACAUUAUAAAACCCUUAAUACCUUAACAACAAGUCAAUAUAUGUUAAGUAUUAAUGAGUAAAGUUAAGUGUAAAGUGUUUUGCUCCUUUUUCGAUUUUUAUGUUAAAAAUAGACUUUUUAUAUAUGCUAAUGAGUUUGACCUAUAAUGACCUCAUGUGUUUGACUUUCAUAAAAUUGACUUUUAAUCUAAAUCAAGUCUUGUCUUAUAUGAAAGUUAAGCAGGAAGAUAAACAUAAGAACAAGUUGAG